AUACUUACCUGGCAGGGGAGAUACCAUGAUCACAAAGGUGUUUUCCCAGGGCGAGGCUCAUCCAUUGCACUCCGGAUGUGCUGACUCCUGUGAUUUCCCCAAAUGUGGGAAACUCGACUGCAUAAUUUGUGGUAGUAGGGGGGAAAAAAAGAGUCUAAUGCCUUUAAAAUUUCUCUUU
rnacentral:snRNA from 1 species